rnacentral:rRNA from 1 species
UACGAAGGGGGCUAGCGUUGUUCGGAAUUACUGGGCGUAAAGCGCACGUAGGCGGGUCGUUAAGUCAGGGGUGAAAUCCCGGAGCUCAACUCCGGAAUUGCCUUUGAUACUGGCGAUCUUGAGAUCGGAAGAGGUGAGUGGAAUUCCCAGUGUAGAGGUGAAAUUCGUAGAUAUUGGGAAGAACACCAGUGGCGAAGGCGGCUCACUGGUCCGAUACUGACGCUGAGGUGCGAAAGCGUGGGGAGCAAACAGGG